GACGAACGCUGGCGGCGUGCUUAACACAUGCAAGUCGAACGAUGAACCGGUUUCGGCCGGGGAUUAGUGGCGAACGGGUGAGUAACACGUGGGCAAUCUGCCCUGCACUCUGGGAUAAGCCCGGGAAACUGGGUCUAAUACCGGAUACGACACUCCGAGGCAUCUUGGGGUGUGGAAAGUUCCGGCGGUGCAGGAUGAGCCCGCGGCCUAUCAGCUUGUUGGUGGGGUAAUGGCCUACCAAGGCGACGACGGGUAGCCGGCCUGAGAGGGUGACCGGCCACACUGGGACUGAGACACGGCCCAGACUCCUACGGGAGGCAGCAGUGGGGAAUAUUGCACAUUGGGCGAAAGCCUGAUGCAGCGACGCCGCGUGAGGGAUGACGGCCUUCGGGUUGUAAACCUCUUUCAGCAGGGAAGAAGCGAAAGUGACGGUACCUGCAGAAGAAGCACCGGCUAACUACGUG
rnacentral:rRNA from 1 species